rnacentral:rRNA from 1 species
CGCGUAGGCGGUCCGAUAAGCCCCGUGUGAAAGCCCCCGGCUCAACUGGGGAACUGCACGGGAAACUGACGGACUUGAGUUCGGGAGAGGGAAGCGGAAUUCCGGGUGUAGCGGUGAAAUGCGUAGAUAUCCGGAGGAACACCGGUGGCGAAGGCGGCUUCCUGGACCGACACUGACGCUGAGGCGCGAAAGCUAGGGGAGCAAACG